GGUAACUGAAGACAGAAAACAGGCUUAAAAAUAAACCACAGAAAGAAAACGAGAUUUGCCUACAUUUGUCUCUGAACUCUGACAUCAUAAAACUUCACAAGGUGACUCAGAGGAGGCUGAUCACUGUGAACCCCUGAGGAGAAGGAAUCUCGCCCCCACCCCGCACACCGCACCGUGUGAGGAACAUCGUUGACGUUCUUAGGAAAGAGGUGAACAGGCAGGUCCCAGCAGACACUUGGCGGUUCCUAUGAUCGGGUGCUGGGGAGGCCACUGGUUCAGAGAUCUACACAUGAAGUCACCCUAAAGAGGGUGGUGGCUGCUGCUUCGUAAAGACCUCAUCGCCGCCAGGUGAGGCUAAGAUGAGCAUUACCAGUGACGAGGUGAACUUCCUGGUGUACCGAUAUCUCCAGGAGUCAGGUAAGAAGCUGGUGUCCUGCCCGGAGCGGGGUGGGGGAAGAAACGCCUUCUUCCAACGCGCCAUGUGCAGGGGCCAGCAACCACGGACGGCAAACGCGGGCUAUAGAGAAGAGAGAGCUCGGGAUGCACUUAUUCAGAGGACCGAAGGGCCUGGGCCCGUGCUGCUCCUGCGGCGGGAUGAGGGAACAUGCUCUCGUUUCUGCGGACAUUUCUGUUCACCUGAAUGAAUGAAUGAAUGAAUGAAGACCAAGUGAAGGGAAAGUGAAAGUCACUCAGUCGUGUCCGACUCUUUGCGACCCCGUGGAUUAUCCAGUCCGUGGGAUUCUCCAGGCCGGAAUACUGGAGCGGGAAUCUAAUAAAGUGAAGUCAACUGUUAAUCACUCAGUCCUGAGUCUUCAUAACCCAAAGACCUAUA